rnacentral:rRNA from 1 species
AACUACCCAAACCCCUGUGAACAUACCAAUUGUUGCCUCGGCGGAUCAGCCCGCUCCCGGUAAAACGGGACGGCCCGCCAGAGGACCCCUAAACUCUGUUUCUAUAUGUAACUUCUGAGUAAAACCAUAAAUAAAUCAAAACUUUCAACAACGGAUCUCUUGGUUCUGGCAUCGAUGAAGAACGCAGCAAAAUGCGAUAAGUAAUGUGAAUUGCAGAAUUCAGUGAAUCAUCGAAUCUUUGAACGCACAUUGCGCCCGCCAGUAUUCUGGCGGGCAUGCCUGUUCGAGCGUCAUUUCAACCCUCAAGCCCAGCUUGGUGUUGGGACUCGCGAGUCAAAUCGCGUUCCCCAAAUUGAUUGGCGGUCACGUCGAGCUUCCAUAGCGUAGUAGUAAAACCCUCGUUACUGGUAAUCGUCGCGGCCACGCCGUUAAACCCCAACUUCUGAAUGUUGACCUCGGAUCAGGUAGGAAUACCCGCUGAACUUAAGCA